rnacentral:rRNA from 1 species
ACUCCUACGGGAGGCAGCAGUAAAGAAUCUUCCACAAUGGGGGAAAGCCCAUCGAUGGAGCAAUACCGCGUGGGCGAUGAAGGUCGAAAGAUUGUAAAGCCCUUUUCUGAGGGAAGAAUUCUGACGGUACCUCAGGAAUAAGCACCGGCUAACUCCGUGCCAGCAGCCGCGGUAAUACGGAGGGUGCAAGCGUUAUCCGGAAUCAUUGGGCGUAAAGCGUCCGCAGGCGGUUCUUUAAGUCAAAUAUUAAAUUACGAUGCCCAACAUCGUAGCCGUAUUUGAAACUGGAGAACUAGAGUCAUUCAGAGGUGCGUGGAAUUCUGUGUGUAGGGGUAAAAUCCGUAGAUACACAGAGGAACACCAAAAGCGAAGGCAGCGCACUGGGAAUGUACUGACGCUCAUGGACGAAAGCGUAGGUAGCGAACGGGAUUAGAUACCCUGGUAGGUC